CCCUAGCGCCACGAGUGGUGUCCACGAUUAUUGGGCCUAAAGCGUCCGUAGCCGGCUUUGUAAAUCUCUUGUGAAAUGGUCAUGCUUCACGUGACCAAGGGCAGGAGACACUGCUUAGCUUGGGAUUGGGAGGGGUAUGGGGUAUGGAUAGGGAAGCAGUAAAAUGCUAUAAUCCUGUCUAGACCACCAGUGGCGAAGGCGCCAUACCAGAACAAAUCCGACGGUGAGAGACGAAAGCUAGGGGAGCGAACAG
rnacentral:rRNA from 1 species